UUUAUUAUGCCCCCCUUCGAAGAAGAGGGGGUAUAUUGCUUUGCUCAUGUCGGUCGGUCGGUCGGUAGGUCGGUCGGUCCGUCCACCAGGUGGUUGUCGUAUGAUAACUCAAGAACGCUUGGGGCUAGGAUCAUGAAACUUCAUAGGUACAUUGAUCAUGACUCGCAGAUGACCCCUAUUGAUUUUGAGGUCACUAGGUCAAAGGUCAAGGUCACGGUGACCCGAAAUAGUAAAAUGGUUUCCGGAUGAUAACUCAAGAACGCAUACGCUUAGGAUCAUGAAACUUCAUGGGUAGAUUGAUCAUGACUCGCAGAUGACCCCUAUUGAUUUUGAGGUCACUAGGUCAAAGGUCAAGGUCACGGUGACCGGAAAUAGUAAAAUGGUUUCCGGAUGAUAACUCAAGAACGCAUACGCCUAGGAUCAUGAAACUUCAUGGGUAGAUUGAUCAUGACUCGCAGAUGACCCCUAUCAAUUUUGAGGUCACUAGGUCAAAUGUCAAGGUCACGGUGACCCGAAAUAGUAAAAUGGUUUCCGGAUGAUAACUCAAGAACGCAUACGCCUAGGAUCAUGAAACUUCAUGGGUAGAUUGAUCAUGACUCGCAGAUGACCCCUAUCAAUUUUGAGGUCACUAGGUCAAAGGUCAAGGUCACGGUGACCCGAAAUAGUAAAAUGGUUUCCG